rnacentral:rRNA from 1 species
AAACCUUAAACGGGGGAUCUCUUGGCUCAUGGGUCGAUGAAGACCGCA